rnacentral:rRNA from 1 species
AAUGGGGGAAACCCUGAUGCAGCAACGCCGCGUGAAGGAUGAAGGUUUUCGGAUUGUAAACUUCUUUAGUCGGGGACGAAUAAAUGACGGUACCCGAAGAAUAAGCCACGGCUAACUACGUGCCAGCAGCCGCGGUAAUACGUAGGUGGCGAGCGUUGUCCGGAUUUACUGGGUGUAAAGGGCGUGUAGGCGGGUCUGCAAGUCAGAUGUGAAAUUCCAGGGCUCAACCCUGGAGCUGCAUCUGAAACUGUGGAUCUUGAGUGCUGGAGAGGAAAGCGGAAUUCCUAGUGUAGCGGUGAAAUGCGUAGAUAUUAGGAGGAACACCAGUGGCGAAGGCGGCUUUCUGGACAGUAACUGACGCUGAGGCGCGAAAGCGUGGGGAGCGAA